rnacentral:rRNA from 1 species
UGCAAGUCGAACGAGUUCUCGUUGAUGAUCGGUGCUUGCACCGAGAUUCAACAUGGAACGAGUGGCGGACGGGUGAGUAACACGUGGGUAACCUGCCCUUAAGUGGGGGAUAACAUUUGGAAACAGAUGCUAAUACCGCAUAGAUCCAAGAACCGCAUGGUUCUUGGCUGAAAGAUGGCGUAAGCUAUCGCUUUUGGAUGGACCCGCGGCGUAUUAGCUAGUUGGUGAGGUAAUGGCUCACCAAGGCGAUGAUACGUAGCCGAACUGAGAGGUUGAUCGGCCACAUUGGGACUGAGACACGGCCCAAACUCCUACGGGAGGCAGCAGUAGGGAAUCUUCCACAAUGGACGCAAGUCUGAUGGAGCAACGCCGCGUGAGUGAAGAAGGCUUUCGGGUCGUAAAACUYYGUUGUUGGAGAAGAAUGGUCGGCAGAGUAACUGUUGUCGGCGUGACGGUAUCCAACCAGAAAGCCACGGCUAACUACGUGCCAGCAGCCGCGGUAAUACGUAGGUGGCAAGCGUUAUCCGGAUUUAUUGGGCGUAAAGCGAGCGCAGGCGGUUUUUUAAGUCUGAUGUGAAAGCCCUCGGCUUAACCGAGGAAGCGCAUCGGAAACUGGGAAACUUGAGUGCAGAAGAGGACAGUGGAACUCCAUGUGUAGCGGUGAAAUGCGUAGAUAUAUGGAAGAACACCAGUGGCGAAGGCGGCUGUCUGGUCUGUAACUGACGCUGAGGCUCGAAAGCAUGGGUAGCGAACAGGAUUAGAUACCCUGGUAGUCCAUGCCGUAAACGAUGAAUGCUAGGUGUUGGAGGGUUUCCGCCCUUCAGUGCCGCAGCUAACGCAUUAAGCAUUCCGCCUGGGGAGUACGACCGCAAGGUUGAAACUCAAAGGAAUUGACGGGGGCCCGCACAAGCGGUGGAGCAUGUGGUUUAAUUCGAAGCAACGCGAAGAACCUUACCAGGUCUUGACAUCUUUUGAUCACCUGAGAGAUCAGGUUUCCCCUUCGGGGGCAAAAUGACAGGUGGUGCAUGGUUGUCGUCAGCUCGUGUCGUGAGAUGUUGGGUUAAGUCCCGCAACGAGCGCAACCCUUAUGACUAGUUGCCAGCAUUUAGUUGGGCACUCUAGUAAGACUGCCGGUGACAAACCGGAGGAAGGUGGGGAUGACGUCAAAUCAUCAUGCCCCUUAUGACCUGGGCUACACACGUGCUACAAUGGAUGGUACAACGAGUUGCGAGACCGCGAGGUCAAGCUAAUCUCUUAAAGCCAUUCUCAGUUCGGACUGUAGGCUGCAACUCGCCUACACGAAGUCGGAAUCGCUAGUAAUCGCGGAUCAGCACGCCGCGGUGAAUACGUUCCCGGGCCUUGUACACACCGCCCGUCACAACAUGAGAGUUUGUAACACCCGAAGCCGGUGGCGUAACCCUUUUAGGGAGCGAGCCGUCUAAG